CCGGGCGGGGGCGCCGGCGCCUCCCAGUGCGGCGGCCGCCAGUGAGCCCGGCGGGGGCGGCCGGGUCAGGUAGUACCGGCGGGGACCUGAGCCGAGCCGAGCCGAGCCGAGCCGAGGACGGCCUGCAGUGCCGGCAUGGUGCUGCAGGAGCCCGCCGGGGCACGGAGUCAGUCGGCUGCGGGAGGAGGGGCUGCUGCUGCUGCCCCCGCCGAGGUGCAGCUGUCCCGGCGUCGCUGGGCCGUGCUGCUGCUCUUCAGCAGCUACUCCCUGUGCAACGCCUUCCAGUGGAUCCAGUACGGCAGCAUCAACAACGUCUUCGUGCGCUUCUACGACGUGAGCGCCUUCGCCAUCGACUGGCUCUCCAUGAGCUACAUGCUCGUCUACAUCCCCCUGCUCUUCCCUGUCGCUUGGCUGCUGGACAAGAGGGGGCUGCGCCUCGUCGCCCUGGCUGGCUCGGCCCUGAAUGCUGUGGGCGCCUGGGUGAAGCUGGGCAGCAUGAAGCCGCAUCUCUUCCCCGUCACCGUCCUGGGGCAGGUCAUCUGUGCCCUGGCCCAGGUCUUCAUCCUGGGCAUGCCCUCGCGCAUCGCCUCUGUCUGGUUUGGCUCCCACGAAGUCUCCACCGCCUGCUCCAUCGCGGUCUUUGGGAACCAGCUUGGUAUCGCUGUGGGCUUUGUAGUCCCUCCAGUUCUGAUUCCUAAUGUGGAGGAUGUGGAGAAGCUGGCCUACCACAUCAGCAUCAUGUUCUUCAUGACUGCAGGUGUGGCAUCAGCCCUAUUCAUCCUGGUCAUCCUAGUAUUCAAGGAGAAGCCCCAGAACCCUCCAAGCCGAGCUCAGGCCUUGAUCCAGUCAAGACCAACGGCAGAAUAUUCCUACGUGCAAUCAAUCCUCCGUCUGCUCCACAAUGCCAACUUUUUGCUCCUUAUGGUCACUUACGGUCUGAAUGCAGGUUGUUUCUACGCCCUGUCCACUCUGCUGAACCGCAUGGUGAUCCACCACUACCCAGGGGAGGAGGUGAAUGCUGGCAGGAUUGGACUCACCAUUAUAGUGUCGGGGACAGUUGGGGCUCUGAUCUCCGGCAUCUGGUUGGACAGAACCAAAACCUACAAACAGACAACACUAGUCGUCUAUAUCAUGUCUCUAGUGGGAAUGAUAAUCUACACCUUCACUCUGAGCCUAGGCCAUCUCUGGGUGGUCUUUGUGACUGCUGGCACGCUGGGUUUUUUCAUGACAGGAUACCUUCCCCUGGGCUUUGAGUUUGCUGCAGAGUUGACAUACCCAGAAUCAGAAGGAACAUCAUCAGGGCUCCUUAAUGUCUCAGCACAGAUUUUUGGUAUUGCUUUCACCAUUGGCCAAGGGCAAAUCAUGGAUCGCUUUGGAACGAAGGCAGGAAACCUCUUUCUUUGUUCCUUCCUGUUCCUGGGGACCGUUAUGACAGCAUUCAUUAAGGCUGAUCUUCGAAGACAACAGGCCAAUUUGGAAAAUGAACACACAAGACUCCAAGGCAGCAAUCAGAUCAUGGAUUAUGGGACUGUAGCUUGUAACUGUAACCCAUCAAUUCCCACUCCUGCUCACUAGUUUAUACACCAAGAUGUCAGUCUUACCCCACAGUGAGUAAAUUCAGAGCCCAGGCUGCAGGAAGCUCCACAUUCACCCUUACAAGUCUGCAUGCCGUCUUCUGAAUUGGUGGCAGCUGGGCAGAAUCAGAACUCGGAGAGAAAGUGUUGCCAGAAGCUUACACUAAUCCCAUAGUUCUUGAGGAAUCAAGGUUGUGAAAUGGAGGGGUGGCAGAGCUGAGAGAUGCAGCCCUCCUCAUUCCCAUCUUUGCUACCCGCACCACCCUCCUGUGACAUGUGCCCCAUGGUCGGGAGGAAGCAUCAGGACAGGAGCCCAGUGAGCUGCUUCUGGAGAAUGUGAAAGAGCAAAACAAGAAGGGCGUUGCUCUCUUCAGUUAUACCUUUGCAUCUUGCUAUUUUAGAGACUUUGCUGCUUGGGAGAAAAAGUUGGGAAAACCCACUGUGUCUCACCCCAUCCCACCAUGUGUGCUUGGAAAAAGCACAUGUGCUGAGAAAAGCCACAGUACCGGGCUAGCCCUGAGCACAUGAGGGUGGCACGUUGCUUGUGGCUGUGCCUCCUCUCACAGGCAAACUGGGACAUGAAAUGCAGAAGCUGGACCACACUUUGUGAGUAGACCUGGAAGAGCUUUCAGCUAGGUCUCGGGAAGAGGGAUUGCUCUGCCUCGGUGCCUGUGAUCCUCUGUGUUGCACAGGUGAUGGUGGAGGCCUCAGUACAUCACCAGCAAGUGAAAAGCAGUGCAUCAGUCACUGCCAGCUCUGUUUUUAUUAUUUGGCUUUCCCAGAUGAAGCACUCUUAGUCUGGAUAAACCUCUGCUCAGAAUUCACUGGGGUUGGCCUGAUGUCCCUAUAUAUUAGGAGUAAUUGAGAGAUACCAAUAUGCCUCCUUCUACCUGGAGGCAAGACUAGUUCUGCAACCUAAGCCUAGCUCGUCACUACAUUAGUAAUAUUAGUAAUACAUUAGUGAGUCAAACCACAAGUUUGACUGUCUUCCAUCUUAAUAAAAAAGUGCCUUUUGCAUGUUUCAACAGUACAUAGAAACUUUUGUGAAGUGUUAUAUUAAGAAAACCAGCCAAGGCUGUGUUGCUUUUCACAGCCAUAGAGAGGGGUAUGAUGGGAAUCCAGAUUUGCUCCAGUGUAGAAGCUGCCCUCUUACCAGCAUUUGUGUCUUAUAGACACUACCCAUCUGUAUGCUGCUUAUCUUCUAAACAUAAAUGCAGAUCCUUACAUCACUUCUCCUUCAUUUGCAGCAUCCCACCCCUGGUGGAGACAUCAAGUGUCCUUAAAUCACGCAGUUAUUCAUUUAUCAUUUGAAGGAGGGGACAAAAACUGCACUGAGGUGGAACAGUUAAAAAUACUGCUCUCUGACAUACCAUUUUUGACAAAAUAUUUUUUGGGUGAAAUUAUAACAGUCUUUGAUACAUUGCAUUUUGAUACAGCCUGCCUGAGUUCAAGAAGUGUUUGGACAAUGCUA